rnacentral:rRNA from 1 species
AUUGAACGCUGGCGGCAUGCCUUACACAUGCAAGUCGAACGGUAACAGGUCUUCGGAUGCUGACGAGUGGCGAACGGGUGAGUAAUACAUCGGAACGUGCCUAGUAGUGGGGAUAACUACUCGAAAGAGUGGCUAAUACCGCAUGAGAUCUACGGAUGAAAGCAGGGGAUCGCAAGACCUUGUGCUACUAGAGCGGCCGAUGGCAGAUUAGGUAGUUGGUGGGAUAAAAGCUUACCAAGCCGACGAUCUGUAGCUGGUCUGAGAGGACGAUCAGCCACACUGGGACUGAGGCACGGCCCAGACUCCUACGGGAGGCAGCAGUGGGGAAUUUUGGACAAUGGGCGCAAGCCUGAUCCAGCAAUGCCGCGUGCAGGAUGAAGGCCUUCGGGUCGUAAACUGCUUUUGUACGGAACGAAAAGCCCUGGGUUAAUACCCUGGGGUCAUGACGGUACCGUAAGAAUAAGCACCGGCUAACUACGUGCCAGCAGCCGCCGUAACAC